UACGGAGGGAGCUAGCGUUAUUCGGAAUUACUGGGCGUAAAGCGCACGUAGGCGGCUUUGUAAGUUAGAGGUGAAAGCCUGGAGCUCAACUCCAGAAUUGCCUUUAAGACUGCAUCGCUUGAAUCCAGGAGAGGUGAGUGGAAUUCCGAGUGUAGAGGUGAAAUUCGUAGAUAUUCGGAAGAACACCAGUGGCGAAGGCGGCUCACUGGACGACUGUUGACGCUGAGGUACGAAAGCGUGGGGAGCAAACAGG
rnacentral:rRNA from 1 species